GGUUUCUAGGAUCGCCGUAAUGAUUAAUAGGGAUAGUUGGGGGCAUUUGUAUUGCGUUGCUAGAGGUGAAAUUCUUGGAUUUACGCAAGACAAACUACUGCGAAAGCAUUUGCCAAGGAUGUUUUCAUUAAUCAAGGACGAAGGUUAGGGGAUCGAAAACGAUCAGAUACCGUUGUAGUCUUAACAGUAAACUAUGCCGACUAGGGAUCGGGCAACCUCAAUUAUGAUGUGUUGCUCGGCACCUUACGAGAAAUCAAAG
rnacentral:rRNA from 1 species